CAUUAUGAAGCUAACCAGCAUUAACCUUUUAAGUUAAAGAUUGAGAAUUUUAUUCUCCAUAAUGA
rnacentral:tRNA from 1 species